GACAGAGGGUGCAAACGUUGUUCGGAAUUACUGGGCGUAAAGCGUGUGUAGGCGGUCCACUAAGGCGGGUGUGAAAGCCCUGGGCUCAACCCAGGAAGCGCACUCGAAACUGGCGGGCUAGAGUAUCGGAGAGGUUGGUGGAAUUCUCGGUGUAGAGGUGAAAUUCGUAGAUAUCGAGAGGAACACCGGUGGCGAAGGCGGCCAACUGGACGAAUACUGACGCUGAGACACGAAAGCGUGGGGAGCAAACAGG
rnacentral:rRNA from 1 species